rnacentral:tRNA from 1 species
AAAAUCCGUCGACUUUAGAAAUCGUGAGGGUUCAAGUCCCUCUAUCCCCCAAAAAAGACCGAUUUGACUAUUUCUCCUACCCUCUCUUUUUUUUAGUGGUUCCAAAUUUGUUCUCUUUCUCAUUCAUUCUACCUUUUUACAAACGUAUCAGAGCAGAAUUUUUUUCUUUUAUCACAAUCACAAGUGGUGUGGUAUAUAUGAUAUACGUACAAAUGAACAUCUUUGAACAAAGAAUCCCGAUUCACAAUUCAUAUCAUUGCUCAUACUGAAACUUAUAAAUUAUUCUAUUCAAGAAAUCUAAUUCCACGCUCAAGACUUUUAAUACUUUUUUUAUCUUUUUUAAUUGACAUAGACCCCAGUCAUCUAGUAAAAUAAGGAUGAUGCGCCGGUAAUGGUCGGGAUAGCUCAGCUGGUAGAGCAGAGGACUGAAAAUCCUCGUGUCACCAG